GAUGAAGAACGUAGCGAAAUGCGAUAAGUAAUGUGAAUUGCAGAAUUCAGUGAAUCAUCGAAUCUUUGAACGCACAUUGCGCCCGUCAGUAUUCAGGCGGGCAUGCCUGUUCGAGCGUCAUUACGCCCCUCAAGUCCCCUGUGGACUUGGUGUUGGGGAUCGGCGAGGCUGGUUUUCCAGCACAGCCGUCCCUUAAAUUAAUUGGCGGUCUCGCCGUGGCCCUCCUCUGCGCAGUAGUAAAACACUCGCAACAGGAGCCCGGCGCGGUCCACUGCCGUAAAACCCCCCAACUUUUUAUAGUUGACCUCGAAUCAGGUAGGACUACCCGCUGAACUUAAGCAUAUCAAUAAGCGGAGGA
rnacentral:misc_RNA from 1 species